GUGGUCUAGCGCUCUAGGGUGGUCUACAGUGGUCCAGCAGUCUAGGCUGGUUUAGGGUGGUGUAGCGGACUAGGCUAGUUUAAGGGGGUCUAAGGUGGUGUAGCGGUAUAAGCUGCUUUAGGGUGGUGUAGCAGUCUAGGCUGGUUUAGGGUGGUCUAGGUUGGUUUAAGGUGGUCUAAUGUGGUGUAGCGUUAUAGACUGGUUUAGGGUGGUGUAACGGUCUAGGCUGGUUUAGGGUGGUCUAGGUUGGUCUAGGCUGGUUUAGGGUGGUCUAGGUUGGUCUAGGCUGGUUUAAGGUGGUCUAAGCGGGUGUAGAGGUAUAGGCUGGUUUAGGGUGGUCUAGCUGUCUAGGCUGGUUUAGGGUGGUCUAGGCUGGUUUAAGGUGGUCUAGGAUGGUGUAGUGGUAUAGGCUCCUGCAUCGUGGUUAAAUGCAGCCCACUGCUCUUUCCUGUCCUGUAACACAUAGAAAUUACUGACAGCAUACCAUUAAAACAUAACUGUACUUGUGAUUUGUUAAUGUCUCAACUA
ensembl:lncRNA